AUUGAACGCUGGCGGCAUGCUUUACACAUGCAAGUCGAACGGUAACAGGCCUUCGGGUGCUGACGAGUGGCGCACGGGUGAGUAAUGCAUCGGAACGUACCCAGAGGUGGGGGAUAACGCAGCGAAAGCUGUGCUAAUACCGCAUGUGAUCUGAGGAUGAAAGCGGGGGACCGAGCAGCAAUGUUUGGCCUCGCGCCUUUGGAGCGGCCGAUGUCGGAUUAGCUAGUUGGUGGGGUAAAGGCCUACCAAGGCGACGAUCCGUAGCUGGUCUGAGAGGACGACCAGCCACACUGGGACUGAAACACGGCCCAGACUCCUACGGGAGGCAGCAGUGGGGAAUUUUGGACAAUGGGCGCAAGCCUGAUCCAGCAAUGCCGCGUGCGGGAAGAAGGCCUUCGGGUUGUAAACCGCUUUUGGCAGGAACGAAACGGUGUCCGCUAAUACCGGGCGCUAAUGACGGUACCUGCAGAAUAAGCACCGGCUAACUACGUG
rnacentral:rRNA from 1 species